GUGGCUGUUUGUACCAGUGAUUGUCUUAUACAGGUGGCCUUUUGUACAGGUGAUUGUCUUAUACAGGUGGUCAUUUGAAGGUGAUUCUCCUAUACAGGUGGUCAUUUGAAGGUGAUUCUCCUAUACAGGUGGUCGUUUGAAGGUGAUUCUCCUAUACAGGUGGUCAUUUGAAGGUGAUUCUCCUAUACAGGUGGCUGUUAGAGCAGGUUCCUUUGUACUUUGUGCUUCUCAUCUGUAUUUUGUCACUCCCUGCCGUAGCGUACUAUCACCACUGUGCUAUUGUUUGAGAUGAACAUUGACUUCCCACCUCUUUACUCAUUGAGGAUGGGCAUCAACUGACAACACUUGGUGCUCUAAAAAAAAAAAAA